GCUGGCGGCACUAGCGCGGUGGUCCCACCUGACCCCAUGCCGAACUCAGAAGUGAAACGCCGUAGCGCCGAUGGUAGUGGGGUCUCCCCAUGUGAGUAGGGAACUGCCAGCA
rnacentral:rRNA from 1 species